CCAACGAGACAAAGGCAAAUGGAAAAAACGAAAAGUGCGACGUCGCCGGAAGCUUCCAUCCAUAUAGGGGCUCAGAUAUAUGUUGCCAGGAAAAAUAAAACCGUCUAAUGACGACAGUCACUUCAGCAACCUCUAAGUUCCACUGACCUAUCAAGGACAUCCGAAGCGAAGAGAAGAUCUCGUGAUCAAUGGCAGACUGGCAGCUCUAAAAACCGCCUUUGGUCAAGAAAUUUCCAGCAGACGAUGCACAUACCGUAUCCAGAUUCUAAAGAAUGCAUACUAGCCCAUUACGGGAAGUGUACUGUAGGCGACACCGAGACUGUGGAACGUAACUAUGCAGCAGCGC
rnacentral:sRNA from 1 species